UACGUAGGGGGCGAGCGUUGUCCGGAAUUACUGGGCGUAAAGGGCGCGUAGGCGGCCUGUUAAGUCCCUUGUGAAAGACCGAGGCUCAACCUCGGGACGUCAGGGGAGACUGGGAGGCUAGGGUGUCGGAGAGGAGCGGGGAAUCCCUGGUGUAGCGGUGGAAUGCGUAGAUAUCGGAAGGAACAUCAGUGGCGAAAGCGACUUCCUGGACCGGCAUUGACGCUGAGGAGCGAAAGCCAGGGGAGCAAACAGG
rnacentral:rRNA from 1 species